AUUGAACGCUGGCGGCAGGCCUAACACAUGCAAGUCGGGCGAGAGGCGGACGGGUGAGUAAUGUAUGGGGAUCUGCCUGAUGGAGGGGGAUAACUACUGGAAACGGUAGCUAAUACCGCAUACCAUCAGAUGAACCCAUAUGGGAUUAGCUAGUAGGUAAGGUAACGGCUGACCUAGGCGACGAUCCCUAGCUGGUCUGAGAGGAUGACCAGCCACACUGGGACUGAGACACGGUCCAGACUCCUACGGGAGGCAGCAGUGGGGAAUAUUGCACAAUGGGCGCAAGCCUGAUGCAGCCAUGCCGCGUGUAUGAAGAAGGCCUUAGGGUUGUAAAGUACUUUCAGCGGGGAGGCGUUACCAACAGAAUAAGCACCGGCUAACUUCGUGCCAGCAGCCGCGGUAAUUC
rnacentral:rRNA from 1 species